rnacentral:piRNA from 1 species
UCACACGGUCCUCGUGGCUUGACCGGCGC